rnacentral:lncRNA from 1 species
CGGAAAUGACCUUACACUAUCAUCCCCGUCGCGGCCACUAUCCCUCCAACCGACUAUGGAGAGUAGUGACGCACACACGCACUAUAGCGAAGUACGCAAAAAGAGGCAAACUAGAUAGCAACAGAGUAAACUCGCACGGAAUGCUAGGUAAAAUACGUGAAAAGGUGUACAAGGUAAACAAGAUAGCGGGAGGUACCAACUCCCGGUGGAAAAACCUGAAAGUAGGCUUUGAUGCG